CCUACGGGAGGCAGCAGUGGGGAAUAUUGGGCAAUGGGCGCAAGCCUGACCCAGCAACGCCGCGUGAAGGAAGAAGGCUUUCGGGUUGUAAACUUCUUUUAAUAGGGAAGAGCAGAAGACGGUACCUCUUUACUAAUCCACGGCUAACUACGUGCCAGCAGCCGCGGUAAUACGUAGGUGGCAAGCGUUGUCCGGAUUUACUGGGUGUAAAGGGCGUGCAGCCGGGAAGACAAGUCAGAUGUGAAAUCCCGGGGCUCAACCGCGGAACUGCAUUUGAAACUGUUUUUCUGGAGUACAGGAGAGGUCAUCGGAAUUCCUUGUGUAGCGGUGAAAUGCGUAGAUAUAAGGAAGAACACCAGUGGCGAAGGCGGAUGACUGGACGGCAACUGACGGUGAGGCGCGAAAGCGUGGGGAGCAAACAGGAUUAGAUACCCCAGUAGUC
rnacentral:rRNA from 1 species